rnacentral:rRNA from 1 species
GACGAAGGUGGCGAGCGUUACUCGGAAUUACUAGGCGUAAAGCGUGGGUAGGUGGUUCGGCAAGUCUGUUGUGGAAGCUCCCGGCUCAACCGGGAGAGGCCAAGUGGAUGACUACCGAGCUUGAAUGUGGGAGAGGUCACUGGAAUUCCUGGUGUAGCGGUGAAAUGCGCAGAUAUCAGGAGGAACACCGGUGGCGAAGGCGGUUCUCUGGGCAUUACCUGACGCUGAGGAGCGAAAGUGUGGGGAGCGAACAGG